UUUGGAAAAGGGGACCAUUAAAUGUCUUAAAAGACAUGAAUCAAUCAGAUACCAUUUUAGGAUAAAUGGAACCAUUAUGUUUUAAAGACAUGAAUCACAUCUCCAUUUUUUUAUAACGUGAGAUUUCAAGAAUUCAAAAUAUGAUAGCGUCUUCAACACUUCAAAAAAACUCGAGAUUUCAGAGCACCUUAAUUAAUGUGAUAUUUUGCAAUAUUAAGGGAGUACGGUGUAAUCUUUCUCAAGAGAAGAGACUCAGGUAUGUUAAGGCUAAUCUUUCUUUCUUUUGGCUUAAUCCAAGUAACGAUACGUAAACGUAAUGAUAUUCAUAAGUGGUUCUACUCUUAGCAGUUAAGGAUGUCUAUGUUAUUUGUUCCCUACGAUCAUGCAUAUCAAUUUGAGGACAUUAAUUACGUGUAAUAGUUUGCAUCCUGUGUUCAUGACUUUUCUGAGAUUUGUUAAGGUCAGAUUCUAGACCCUCUACGUGUUCUGGGAAUUGUUCCAAUUUAAUCCUUAAUUUUAAUACUUUUAAUGAUAUAGAGAAAGCAAGAAAAGGACAUAGAUAGAUUUGAUGUAAUAUGAUAAUAAGAUGCCCUGACCAUAUUCAUACUUAUUUGUAGCUUACUUGACUAAGUGGGCUAUCGGAGAGGAAAUUGUAGUUCAAUUUGGUCGUGUACUAAUUACACAGAUUUGGUACUUCAUUUUUUGAGUGUUUUCAUAUAUAUAAUUUUCAUUUCAUGGAUAUUACUCCGAGCAGAAGGCUUCCACUAGAAAAAUGAUUUCCAUUUCAUUUGGUUUCUUUUGUAGUCAGUAGCCUAAAUUACAGUUGUAUUUCCUAAUGAAGUAUGGCAGUCAUGCAUUUUACCACCGUGCUAUGGCCAGUUGGGAAAUUACAUAUUUACCACCGAGCUACGGCCGGUCGGACAGUCAUGCAUUUACCACCGCACUACGGUCGGUCGGGAAAUUACCACCGGUUAGGCAGUUAUGUAUUAUUAUUUACCACCGGUUUUGCAGUUAUGCAUUUACAACCAAGCUNNNNNNNNNNNNNNNNNNNNNNNNNNNNNNNNNNNNNNNNNNNNNNNNNNNNNNNNNNNNNNNNNNNNNNNNNNNNNNNNNNNNNNNNNNNNNNNNNNNNNNNNNNNNNNNNNNNNNNNNNNNNNNNNNNNNNNNNNNNNNNNNNNNNNNNNNNNNNNNNNNNNNNNNNNNNNNNNNNNNNNNNNNNNNNNNNNNNNNNNNNNNNNNNNNNNNNNNNNNNNNNNNNNNNNNNNNNNNNNNNNNNNNNNNNNNNNNNNNNNNNNNNNNNNNNNNNNNNNNNNNNNNNNNNNNNNNNNNNNNNNNNNNNNNNNNNNNNNNNNNNNNNNNNNNNNNNNNNNNNNNNNNNNNNNNNNNNNNNNNNGUUGAAUUAUGGUUAUGUUUCAGUUCUGCCUUACAUGCUCAGUACAUUAUUCGUACUGACGUCCUUUUGUUGGGGACGCUGCAUUCAUGCCUACAGGUAUAGAUAUUCAAUUUGACGAGCCCUCAUAGUAGACGAGAUUAGCAUCCAACGAAGAAUCGGUAAGACUCCACCUCAUUUGGAGUGCAGCCGAGUCUAUGAAGCAUCGUGUUAGGAUUUUGCUAUAGACUUAUGGUAGGCCGAUACCCUGUCCCAUUUGAUGUCAAAUAAUUUUAGAGGCUUUGUAGACAGAGGUUCAUUUUGUAUAGUAUGUCAGAGGCCUUGACGGCCCUUAUGUAUUCAUAUUCUAAGAAAAAUGAUUCAGUGAUACAGUGUUGCCCACUUAUAGUUAUACAUUACGAGUUGUGGCCAUGUUGGACCAUGAUAGUUACAAAAAUAAAAUAUAGUUGUAGAGUGGUUUGCUCGGACCAGUGCGGUACCGGGUGCCAGCCACGCCUCCGAAGGUUUGGGGCGUGACAGAGUGAUAUCAGAGCGGAUCGUGUCCUAGGGAGUCUAGAAAGUCGUGCCUAGUAGAGUCUCACUUGUGAAUGUGUUGCAGGCCACAUUUAUAAUUGAGAGGCUAUAGAGCAUUUAGGAAAUGAUAGCCUUCUUUUAUAUCCAGAUCGUUCCAUAGAGCUGAGUCGUAAGAAAUCAGUGUGAAGCUUUCGCCAGAUUUUGUAUGCACUAGAGGUGCAGGUAUUACAGGAGAGCUUUAAGGCAUAAUAUGGAAGGGAGUUUAUGAAAGAAACAGAAGAUACGAUGCGAGAUUGAAAGGUAAGUCAGGUAAAGGUGAAGAAGAUACAACAUAUUCAUAUACAAGAUAUUGUGAAUAGUCGAGACUUCAGAUAGAGGUUGCGUUUUAGUUUAGUUUACAGAGGAGACCCUAGCGAAAGUUUUGAAAAUCUCAAAGAGUUAACAUUCGAGGACGAAUGUUUCUAAAGGGGGAAGGAUGUUACAUCUUGUACCUUAGCAUUAGGAUGUGCCGUAGUAAAUCCACAUGAGUUCGAAGAGAUUAUGUCUAUUAGGAGGUUAUAGAGGGUUUAAGACAUUAUUAUUAUGAGACCCUGUAAGUUUACAACCUUGGUACUGUUAGAUAUUAUGUUAAUGUGGUAUUUUCUUUUAAGUGGAGUAUUUUAGUAAAAGUUUUAUAAGUGUAAUUUUGGAUAGUUACCAUUAUUACUAUUUUGGAAUAUGUUAAAUUAUACACAUAAUAUAAGAAAGUUUAUGAGAUUUUCUUUAUUGUAAAGAUAGAAAUUAUUUUCUCGCAAUAAAUGAAGGUUAUCAUUUUACCAUUUUAAGAAUUAAGCGUACGAGAAUUUUUACUCUUUAUAUGAGAUUAGAAAAAUUAUAAGUUGAGAAAAUAUAUGUAUUUGUUUACAUGAAUGUUUUAAUAAAAUAAUAACUGUAUGUAUUUAUUUUAUAUGGUACCAUAUGACCAUGAUGGUGUGAUAUAUAAAGCGUAUUUAAAGUGAGUAAUAUUUUAAAUAAUUUGAGAUAAUUCUUAAUUAUGUGCGUAAUUGAUUAAUUAUUAUUUAAUGGAGAAAUUAACAAAGUUAAUUAUUAAUUAGUGAUUAAUUAAGGUCUUUUGGAUAAAGACUAAAAUGUCACGUGGCAGCCAUGCCAUGUCCAAAUGGUGACUCUUACAAUUGAGUGAUAGGUGGCAUAUUUAUUAAUAUGUUGUAAGAUUUGAGAAAUUAACAAGUCUUCUAACAUGAAUCAUAUACCAUUUUGGGAAAAGGGGACCAUUAAAUAUCUUAAAAGACAUGAAUUAAUCAGAUACCAUUUUAGGAAAAAAUGGAACCAUUAUGUCUUAAAGACCGAAUCACAUCUCCAUUUUUUUUAUAACGUGAGAUUUCAAGAAUUCAAAAUAUGAUAGCGUCUUCAACACUUCAAAAAACCCCGAGAUUUCAGAGCACCUUAAUUAACGUGAGAUUUUGUAAUAUUAAGGGAAUACGGUGUAAUAUUUCUCAAAAGAAUCGACUUAGGUAUGUUAAAUGUUAAUCCUUCUUUAUUUUUGAAUUGAUCCAAGUAACAAUACGUAAACGUAAUGAUAUUCCAUAAGUGGUUUUACUCUUAGCCGUUAAGGAUAUCUAUAUUAUUCGUUCCCUACGAUCAUGCAUAUCAAUUUGAGGACAUUAUUUAAGUGUAAUAGUUGGCAUCCUGUGUUCAUGACUUUUCUGAGACUUGUUAAGAUAACAUUAUAGCCCCUCUACAUGUUCUUGGAACGAUCUUGUUCAAAUUUAAUCCAAAAUUUUAAUACCUUUAAUGAUAUAGAGAAAUCAAGAAAAGGACAGAGACGGAUUUGAUGUAAUAAGAUAUUAAGAUGCUCUGACCCUAUUCAUACUUAUUUGCAGCUUACUUGACUAAGUGGGCGAGAGGAAAUUGUAGGUCAGUUUGGUUGUGUACUAAAAACACAGAUUUGGUGCUUUAUUUUUGAAGUGUUUCCAUAGAUAUAAUUUUCAUUUCAUGGAUAUUACUCCGAGCAGAAGGCUUCCACUAAAAAAAUAAUUUUCAUUUCAUUUGGUUCCUUUUGUAGUCAGUAGCCUAAAUUACAGUUGUAUUUCCUAACGAAGUAUGGCAGUCAAGCAUUUACCACUGUUCUAUGGCCGGUUGGGCAGUUACAUAUUUACCAACGAGCUACGGCCGGUCGGGCAGUCAUGCAUUUACCACCAUGCUAUGGCCGGUCGGGCAGUUACCACCGGUUGGGCAGUUAUUCAUUUACCACCGAGCUACGGCCGGUCGGGCAGUUACCACUGAUCAGUUGAGUAGUCAUGUAUCAUACGAUAUGGAUAAUAGUCUCAAAGAGAAGCAUAUACGGUGGCACUCCAGAGAUUCAGGUUGAUUCUUAUAUGUCUUCAAUUAAUGUUGAAUUAUGGUUAUGUUUCAAUUCUGCCCUACAUACUCAGUACAUUAUUCGUACUGACGUCCUUUUGUUGGGGACGCUGCAUUCAUAACUACAGGUAUAGAUAAUCAAUUUGACGAGCCCUCAUAGUAUAUGAGAUUGGCAUCCAGAGAAGAAUCGGUAAGACUCCACCUCAUUCGGAGUACAGCCGAGACUAUGAAUCAUCGUAUCAGGAUUUUGCUACAGACUUAUGGGUAAGCCGGUACCCUAUCCCAUUUGAUGUCAAAUAAUCUUAGAGACUUUGUAGAUAGAGGUUCAUUUUGUACAGUAUGUCAGAGGCCUUGACGUUCCAUAUGUAUUCAUGUUCUAAGAAAUAUGGUUCACUGAUACAGUGUUUCCCACUUAUAGUUAUACAUUACGAGUUGUGGACAUGUUGGCCCAUGAUAGUUACAAAAAAAAAUACUUGUAGAGUGAUUCGCUCAGGCCAGUGCGGCACUGGGUGCCAACCAUGCCUCCCCAGGUUUGGGGCGUGACACAUUGAAGGAAUUCCCAACCACGGAGAAAUCAUCCAUAAAGAUCUCAAGAAAAUCCUCCACCAUAUCUGUGAACAUGGCCAUCAUACACCGUUGAAAAGUCGUUGGUGCAUUGCAUAACCCAAAUGGCAUCCGUGAGAAUGCGAAAGUACCAUAGGUACAAGUGAAAGUAGUCUUUUCUUGGUCCUCAGGCACAAUGAGAAUUUUAUUGUAGCCGAAAUAUCCAUCAAGGAAAUAAUAAAAAGCUCGCCCGGCCAACCUGUCAAGCAUUUGAUCAAGCAAUGGAAUCGGAAAAUGAUCUUACCGAUUGACUUUGUUGAGCUUCCAAUAGUCCAUGCACACUCUCCACCCGGUCACUGUUCUUGUAGGAAUUAAUUCGUUCUUGUCAUUGGUGACCACAAUCAUGCCCCUUUUCUUUGGGACACAUUGCACCGGUGAGGUCCACGAGCUGUCGGAAAUGAGGUAAACUACCCCGGCAUCCAUCCACAUUAUGAUCUCCUUCUUUAUCACCUCUUGCAUUUCUUCAUUUAACCUUCUUUGAUGUUCAAUGAAGGCUUUGGCAUCCUCCUCCAAAAUAAUCUUGUGCAUGCAAAAGGCGGGGUUUAUACCUCGAAUAUCUGCCAGUGUCCAUCCUAUAGCUUUCUUCCUCUUUUGAAGCACCGGCGAAGUAGAAUCUACCUGCACGUUAGUCAAGCAAGAGGAAAGAAUAACAGGUAAAGUAAAACAUAGGCCAAGAAACUCAUACCUGAGAUGUGAAGGCAAUGGCUUUAAUUCCAAAGUGGGAGGCUCCUCGAUUGAGGGCUUUGUUGGAGGAGUCUUCCGGUUCUCAAGAUCUAAGGAGAAUUUUCAGGGUUCAUAAGUAUACGACCCCAUUUCUUGUAAUGCAUUUACACAUUCCACAUAGCCAUCCUUCUCAUCAUCAUCAUGAGUAAGCAAUACGACCUCCAAAGUAUAAUCAACAUUCACCAUCAUCAACAAUCACCUCGGUCACUAAGUCCACAAAUGAACAAACUUCGUUGCUAUUCGGUUGCCUCAUAGAUUUGCACACAUGGAAAACCACAUUUUCAUCGCCCACCCGAAAAGUGAGCUCGCCGGCUUCCACAUCAAAAAGAGCCUUCCCCGUAGCAAGGAAAGGUCUACCCAAGAUAAUAGGCACCCUAUAGUCCACUUCGCAGUCAAGGAUCACAAAGUCUGUCGGGAGGAUAAACUUAUCAACACGAACUAACACAUAAUCAAUAAUACCCAAUGGUCUCUUCAUAGUACGAUCCGCCAUUUGUAACCUCAUUGAUGUGGGUCUUGGUUGCCCAAUUCCCAAAGUUUUGAACACCGAGUAGGGCAUCAAGUUGAUACUCGCCCCUAGAUCACAUAGAGCUUUGGCAAAGUCGGCGCUUCUAAUAGUGUAAGGGAUUGUGAAAGCAUUGGGAUCUUCCUAUUUCAGAGCCAUUGAGUGCACAAUAGCACUCACUUGAUGUGUCAUCUUGAUAGUCUCAUAAUUCAUUGAUCUUUUCUUUGUCACCAAAUCUUUCAUGAACUUUGCAUACUCGGGCAUUUGUUCCAAUGCCACAACCAAUGGCACAUUAAUGGAUAAGCUCUUCAUCAUGUCAAUAAACUUCUUGAAUUGGUUCUCACUAUUUUUCUUGACGAUCCUUUGAGGGUAUGAAGGAGGAUGCCUUGGCAUUGGUUCCUUGGCCUUCGGCACUACCGAUUUCGGUAUGUCAAUCACGUGUUCCCUAGACGAGUUUACUUCUUCUUGGGUCUCCUCCAAACUCUCAUCAAUAUCAAUUUUCACUUCUUCAUUAGCUUGAACCACAUUGCUUGGAAUCUCAUCUUCUUGAACCACUACAUCAUUAUCCAUAAUUCUUCUUUGAUUUGAGGUGGUUGCAUAUCCACCACUUCCACUCCUUGUUGUUAUGUCCAUGGCAUGCCCCAUGUUGUUCCCACCCUUCGGGUUCACCACCAUAACACUAGGUAGUGCCCCCUUAGGACGAGUGCUUAAAGCUUGCGAGAUUUUCCCUAAUUGAACUUCUAAAUUGCAGAUUAAAGUGUUGUNNNNNNNNNNNNNNNNNNNNNNNNNCUCAUUGUUGGAAGAACUAGAACCUUGAGACAGAUAAGGAGGCGGGUUGUUUGGUUGUUGAUACAUCGGGGCCUUUGAAAGCCCGGCCCCCGGUUCCCUUGGUUACCAUUCCAACCCCCUUGGUUUUUGCCUCCCCAAUAUCCUUGAUUGUUGCCACCCCAAUUGCCUUGCUUUCCUUGAUUGUUCCAAUUACCUUGAUUAUUGUUAUUAUUCCAAUUACCUUGAUUGUUGGUACCACCACUCCAAUUGCCUUGGUGGUUUUGAUUGUUCUAAUUUCCUUGAGAUCGCCAUUGUUGAAUCGGGACUUGAGAGUUGUUCCUUUUCCCUUGGUAAUUAUUCACAUAUUGCACUUCUUCAUUUUACUCAUUAUAAGAUUCAUCUUGGUCGAACCCACUAUCAUCUUGCACAAAUUGUUCUACAUUGUUUUUCACUUGUUGACCCUUUUGAUUUUGCUUGUUCACCAUCAUAUUGACACCUUCCAUUGCAUUUACUUUCUUAGGACCUUGAACCUGUUGAAGUCGAGCUUUGGCCAAUUGAUUGAUUGUAGUGGUCAACUCACCAAUUGCUUGCUCAUGAUCUUGCAAUUCGUUGUGUAGGUAAAUCAUAUUUGGAUCACCUUGAAGAACAUUUGCUCUACUUUGCCAUGCCGAUGAGGUAUACGCCAUUUCAUCUAAGAUUUCGCAAGCUUCGGCAUAUGGUGUUGUCAUGAAAUUUCCACCGGCAAGUUGGUUGACCACGCAUUAAUUGGUAGUAUUGAUCCCCUUAUAGAAGGUUUUUGAAUCAUGGCCUCGGUCAUGUCAUUAUUUGGGCACUCUUUCACCAUAGAGCGGUACCUCUCCCAUAUCUCGUGCAACGGCUCGUUGGAUUCUUGUUUGAAUGCUAGAAUCUCGUCUCUAAGAGUAGCCAUAUGCCCGGGAGAAAAGAACUUGGCAAUGAAUUUUUCCGCCAAUUCAUCCUAUGUAUGGAUAGAAAGGUUUGGCAAUAUUUCUAACCAAUCCAAGGCUUUCCCCUGUAAAGAAAAGGGAAAUAGUCUCAACCUUAAAGCAUCCUCAGAAACGUUGGUCUCUUUACUACCCAAGCAGGUGUCCACAAAUCCUUUCGAGUGCUUGUACGCAUUUUGAUUCAGAGCCCCUGUGAAAAAUCCUCGUUGCUCAAGAAGUGUAAGCAUAACAUUUGUGAUUUGAAAUUUGCCCGCCCUAAUGCAGGGCGGGACUAUGGCACUUGCGUACCCUUUAUUCGGCAACACCCGGUGUGGAGUCGCUCUUGGUGGAUUUGGAUGAGGAACUAGAAUGUUGUCUUGAGGUUGUAGGCCUCGUCUAUUUGCUUGAGGUUCAAGAGGAACCUCUUCAAUUGGGUCAUCUUCCACGUCCAUAUCCCCCAGAGGAAUGAUUCCGAGAGGAUCAUUGUUGAGAGCCAUUUUUUUGUACCUACAAUCGAUUCACAAAAAGGUUAGUAACCCGGAAGAAAAAGAAGACAAGUCACACACAAAACCAAAUAUAUAGCUAAAUUCGUUUUUAGCUCCCCGGCAACGGCACCAAAUAUUGAUGUCGCCAAAACUCACACCACUAAUUUAGGUUGCGAGGCAGUCGAUGUAAUAAUAAAAACCCAACGCGAGUCGGGGUCGAUUCUACGGGGAGCUUGAUGUGGUAUUAGGUAUAUAUCUAGUGUGAAUGUAUGACGUGCCUAAGAUUACACUUUCACAUUUUAAAUUGUUGUUUCUACUUCUACAUUUACGCUAAUGCUUGCAAUUGUAAAGUUAUAAAAGAUCUAGGGUUGCGACUUCCGCCUAGUCGGUUACCUAACAGAUUUAUAGCUUUAGGGCACGUUUGGUUGAUCGAGAUACAAUAUAGAAAUCACACGUAAUUAAUCACUCUAUACCUCUUGGUAGUUUGAGUGAUUUUGCCCCGUUCGACUUUCUCAAGUCCUAAUGGGUAUCUCACGAAACAAAUGAUAAAUGCUCAAGUCGGGUCUUACUAUCUCUAGAUUAGACCCUUUAAUUGGGGCUAUCAAUUUCUUUAGUUCACUCCAAUUUCUUGUUAGCCAAGUUUUCCUAAACUUAGUCUCACUUCCUCGAGUAGAGACUAAGUCAAUUAGGCAUAAAUCAAUCCUUGCAACCAUCAAUUCUCAAAAUCAAGCAAGAACUAGGCUAAAAUUCAUAUACCCAAUCACAAAUAAGCCCUAACUCAAUCACCCAAUAAGUAUCCAUACUAGGGUUGGGUCACAACCCUAGCUAAGAGUUUAGCUACUCAUGUAUAAUGAAGAAAUUAAAGAAGAAACUACGAUAAAAUGCAUAAUGAUUGAUUAAGGAAAGAAAAUCUAAUGUAUGCUAAACUAGUACAAAGAUGCACAAUCGAGUAAAGAAAAAUGGCUCUGAAUGUUCAGGUCCACCAAAACUUAACCUAAAAAUGACAAAAAUAUCUAUUUAUACCCAGCUAAAAAUAUAUGACAAAUUUGCCCCUGCGAAGGUUGUGCGGCUGCACAAUUCUGUGUGCGGUCUGCACUUUGAGACUGACUGGAAGGUAUGGCUUUCUGCGGUCACACAAAUGUGAGAUGCGGCCGCACUUCCUCUCAUUGUGCAUACCGCACAUUUCUGAGUGCGGCCGCACUCUUGCUCUUGGACUGGAUCAGGAUUCCAUUCUGCGGACCGCACAUUUAUGAGUGCGGCCGCACAAUAAUAGUACGGUCCGCACAUCUUCAAACUCCCAAACUUCAGCUCUCUAAAUUUAGUCUUCUGCGGCCGCACAAUAAUUGUGUGGUCCGCACUCUAUGAAGAAAAUCUAUCAGAGCCUCUUUAGAUUUUGCGGCCGCAAACGGUAUUGUGCGGUAAGCUCUGUAGCCCUUUUUGGUUGUUGUCCAAUUUUACUCCAUUUUGAGUUGAUUUUCACUUCUUUGGCUCGUUUCCUAAUAUUCCUGCAAGAAAACACAUUUCAUUAGUUCUCGGAAGUACCUUUAAGCAUUUUUGAGCAAAAACGUAAGUAAAAGAGAGUAAAUAAGCUGUCAAGAUCCCUACUUAUCAGCAGCCAGCUAGUUCUGUAGCUACUACAUCCACAACACCUCCUCCAUCUAGAGCCACCCUAGCAUUCGUAGGGCGUGGUGUAGCUAGGGGUGGUGCAUAGAGUUCAGGAGGACCCAACAUAUUUUUUUCUAUGCGGAGGCAUCGGGAUUCAGAGGCUUCUCCAGAUAUUGUCACAUGUAUAUUGACUGUCAAAUCCUAUGAUGUAUAUUCUCUUAUUGAUCCCGGUUCCACUUUGUCAUGUGUCACUCCUUAUGUUGCUAUGGAAUUUAGGAUAGAACCGUAAUAGCUUCAUGAGUCGUUCUUUGUAUCUACUCCAGUUGGCGAGUCUAUUGUGGUCGCACGAGUUUAUAGGGAUUGUGUUGUCACUGUGCAUGGUCGAGACACCCUGGCCCAUCUCAUUGAAUUGGGGAUAGCUGAUUUUGAUGUAAUAAUGGGGAUGGACUGACAUUAUUCAUGUUUCGCUAAGCUUGAUCGUCGAACCAGGACCGUUAGGUUUGCAUUUCCAAAUGAGUCAGUGAUAGAAUGGAAGGGGGAUGAUGUGGUGCCAAAGGGUAAGAUGAUUGACAAAGGAUGUAUAUACCAUUUGGAUCGGGUUAUGGACACCGAUGUUGAGGCACCUACACUUGAGUCUGUGCCUAUUGUGAAUGAAUUUCCGGAGGUCUUUUCAGAUGAGCUCCCUCGGAUCCCUCCAGACAGGGAGAUUUAUUUUGGUAUUGAUUUAAUGCCAGGAACGCAUCCUAUAUCUAUUCUGCCCUAUAGAAUGCCACCGGCAGAAUUGAAGAAGCUAAAGGAGAAAUUAAAGGAUUUGUUAGAGAAGGGUUUCAUCCGGCCGAGUGUUUCGCUGUGGGGCACACCGGUCCUUUUUGUAACAAAGAAGGAUGGGUCACUGAGAAUGUGUAUUGACUAUCGGUAGCUCAACAAGGUCACAAUCAAGAAUAAGUACCCACUGCCAAGAAUAGAUGUCUAGUUUGACCAAUUGCAAUGUGAUAAGUACUUCUCCAAGAACGAUAUAAGAUCUGGGUAUCACCAAUUAUAGAUUAUGGAGAAGGAUAUUCUGAAAAUGGCUUUCAGGACCCAGUAUGGGAACUUUGAAUUUCUAGUAAUGUUUUUUGGGCUAACAAAUGUCGCGACAAAUUUCAUGGACCUUAUGAAUCGAGUCUUCAAGCUUUUUCUUGACUCCAUUGUGAUAGUGUUCAUUGACAAUAUUCUGGUAUAUUCGUGAAGUCGAGAGGACCAUGCCGAUCAUCUCAAGGAAGUUCUAUAGACUCUAUAUCAACACAAGUUGCAUGCGAAGUGUUUGAAAUGUGAAUUUUGGCUUGAAUCUAUUACAUUCUUGGGGCAUGUAGUCUCCAGAGAAGGAAUUAAGGUUGAUCCUAAGCAGAUUGUAGUUGUGAAGAAUUGGCCUAGACCUACAACUCCAAUAGAGAUUCGAAGUUUCUCUCGCUUAGCCGGGUAUUGCAGGAAAUUUGUGGAGGGGUUCUCCACUAUUGCUUCUCCGUUGACUAAAUUGAUGCAGAAGGCGGUUAAGUUCCAAUGGUCAUAUGUUUGUGAAAGGAGCUUCCAAGAAUUGAAAUCAAAAUUAACUACGGCACCAGUGUUGACCCUACUAGAGGGUACAGAUGGGUUUGUGGUAUAUUGUGAUGCUUCAAGAAUCGGACUUGGGCAUGUAUUAAUGCAACAUGGCAAGGUGAUAGCUUAUGCUUCUAGGAAACUCAAGAAUCAUGAAAUGAACUGUCCAAUACAUAACUUAGAGCUCACGGCUGUGGUAUUUGAGAGAAAAUGGCUUGCGUUACUCAAGGAUUACGACAUCGAUAUUAUGUAUCAUCAGAGGAAGGAUAAUGUUGUAGCGGAUGCUCUUAGCCGAAAAUGUAUGGGUAGUUUGGCUCACUUGGAGGCAUAUCAAAGGCCGUUGGCCUAGGAGGUUCAUCGUUUGGCUGGUUUGGGAGUUUGUCUUGCGGAUUCUAGUAAAGGAGGAGUGAUUGUGCAAAAUAGGGCUGAUUCAUCACUUGUUAUGGAAGUCAAGAAAAGCAGUACAAUGACCCAUUGUUGGUACAAUUGAGGGAGGGAAUUCAUAAACAUAAGACGAUGGCCUUUUCUCUUUGCAUGGAUGAUGGUACACUAAGGUACCAAGGGCGACUAUGUGUUCCAAAUGUGGAUGGUUUCUAGGAAAGAAUCAUGGCUGAGGCUCACACUUCUAGCUAUUUCAUGCACCCGGGAUCUACAAAGAUGUACCAUGAUCUUAAAUAAGUCUACUUGUGGAAUGAUAUGAAGAGGAAUGUAGCGAACGUUGUUGCAAGAUGCCCAAAUUUCCAGCAAGUGAAGAUCGAACACCAAAGACCCGGUGGGUUUGCACGGAACAUAGAAAUCCCAAUGUGGAAAAGGGAGAUGAUCAAUAUGGACUUUGUGGUAGGACUAUCUCUCACUUCUCGUAAGUUUGACUCGAUUUUGGUGAUUGUGGAUUGAAUCACAAAAUCAGCACACUUCUUACCAGUUAAGGCUACCGACACAAUGGAGCAGUAUGCUUAGUUGUAUAUUAAGGAAAUUGCCAUUCUGCGUGGCACUCCAAUUUCCAUCAUUUCUGAUCGGGAGGCACAGUUCACAGCUAACAUUUGGAAGAAAUUUCAUCAAAGUUUGGGUACUCAGGUAAAUCUUAGUACAAACUUUCACCCGCAGACUGAUGGGCAGGCAUGGCGGACUAUUCAAACGCUUGAGGAUAUGUUGCGAGCUUGUGUUCUUGACUGUAGGGGUAGCUGGGAUGAUUAUUUGCUGCUCAUAGAAUUUUUCUACAACAACAGUUAUCAUGCUAGUAUCUAGAUGGCACCGUUUGAGGCUCUAUAUGGUAGGAGAUAUAGAUCUCACAUUAGGUGGUUCGAGAAUGGGGAAGCAGAAUUGAUAGGGUCGUACCUCGUGCAUCAGGCUCUGGAGAGGGUUAAGAUCAUUAUAGAACAGUUAAAAACUGCUCAGAGUCAUCAAAAGAAUUAUUCAGAUGUGCGUCGUAGGGAUUUCGAGUUCAAAGUAGAUGAUUGGGUAUUCAUGAAGGUUUCCCCUAUGAAGCAUGUAAUGCGGUUUGGUAAGAUAGGAAAAUUAAGUCGGAGGUAUGUCGGACCAUACAAAAUCAUUCAGAGAAUUGGCCAGGUGGCUUACAGGCUAAAGCUACCUCCAAUGAUGUCUUUAGUGCACCUAGUGUUUUAUGUAUCCAUGUUAAAGAAGGUGGUUGGAGAUCCGUCACUUAUUGUUCCGGUAGAUACUAUUGUGGUUAUUGAAGAAUUGACAUAUGAAGAAAUUAUAGUUUUCAUUCUUGAUAGGCAAGUUCGAAAGUUUAGGAACAAAGGAAUUGCCUCCGUGAAAAUAUUUUGGCGAAGCUAACAAGUUAAAGAGGCCACCUAGGAUGCCGAGGAAGAGGUGAAAAAGAACUAUCCUAAUUUAUUUGAAUAGGUAUGUAAUUGAGCCCAUGAUGUUGAAAGCUAACUUUCUAUAAACUAUGUUUCCCCUGUAUAGCUUAUGUUGAAGUUGCUCCUCCUUGGUAAUGUAGUGUUUAAUGGCAUUGUGGCCAGUGUUGUUUCCAUGUUGUUUUAUAUCUUUGUGUUAUGGUUAUGUUGUUAGGACUAGUUUUAGGAUUCUCUGGCAGGUGGAUAGGCCCCAAUUACAGGGGAGACUCUAGCAAAACUUCUGGAAAUUUAAGGAGUUAGUCAAACAUUUGGACCUGCUAGCGUGUGUUAUAGUAGCUAAGUCACAUUAGGUGCUAAUGGUGAGUUUUGACCCUCAUUCGAGAAUGAAUGAUCCUAAGCGGGGAUGAUGUGCAGUGCGUUGGGGAGUUGAAGAAAUGUUUUUGGAAGUGCUGGGUGUUUCUGCGGUUGAUUCUGCAGUCACAGAACAGAUCUGCGGACCACAGAUCUGCCACAGACAAAAGUAGAUAUCUGGGAUAUAUUUAGACCAUUAUGCAGUCCAUUAUACGGCCGUAUAAUAAUUUCACGGGCCGCUCAACCCAUUGCAGACCCAUCAUGAAACCUUUUGGAGGGAAGUUCUGAGCCGCAUUAUACGAUCGUAGAAUAGGUAUACGGACCGCAGACUAGUCGUAGGGUAAGACAGAAAUGCCCAGUUCUGGAAGGCCAUUAUACGGCCCAUUUUGUGGACCGAAGAAGCGUUAUGCGGUCACAUAUACGAUCACAAAUUUGCAUCGGGGCUUUAUUAAUCUGGUUUUAUAAACCCGACCCCAUUCUUAUAAAACAAUCUUAGGGUUCAUUUUAGAAGGUUAAAACUUACAUUUUAGAGAGAGGAAGGUGGUCUAGAGUGAAAAAAUAUAAUUCAUAGUUCAUCAAUCUUUGCUCAAUCCUUGAAGAUUUCACAAGGCUAACUCACAAGUUCUUCAACCAAAAAGGUACGAUUCUAGCCCUAGCCUUGAAUUUCAAGAUUUAAUUGAAAAUAGAUAAUAAGCCAAGCAAUUCCUGUGUGUGAGAGUUUUUCAUUAUGCAUGCAUGUACAAUCUAGGGUUGUGGGAAGAUUGCUCAGUUCAAUUGGGUAGACUUUGGGUAGUGAAAUUGAGCAAUCCACCAUAUGAGGACCUUGAACUCAUAAUGCCCACCUAGUGUUUGAUAAAAUGCUCAAAUGAGCGGGAACCAUGAACUCCCUCCUAAUUUGUAUUCAAUUUUGCUAUGUCUCUAAAUCGAUUGAAGUUUCUAGGAUUUUCAGAACUGUGUAGUGAAUUAAGAAAAGCUCAAAGCGAGGUAUGAGGCUAAACUUUUUUUCUGGUAUUGGAACUCCCGUGUUCUUUCAAAACUCCAUCGUGUGAAGUUCGAAUAUGUAACGAUAUUUAUGUGGGAUAUUCAAACUAGUAAAAUUGAUUUCAGAUUGGCAUAACGUUUUAGAACCCUCAUGUAUUGAUGAUUCUUUAUUUUGACUUAAUUGUUAUAUCCCUUUUGGGGAAGAACAUAUUGUAUGAAAUCAAUAUGAUUAAACACUUAUUUCUCAUAUGAUGGAACCUUAUGAACUUACACAUGCUAAGGCCAAAGGUGCCAAAUGGUUGAUUUGAAUAGGAACUCUUUUGAACAAACUAUUUUCGUUUUGGGAAUCUGAAGUGUGGCAUUGUGAGUACACCUCCAUCCGCAGACAUUGGGGUGAGGCGGCAAGACUGCUUUGUGUAUAGUUGUGGUAUUGUGAAUACACCUCCACCCGCAUACAUUGGAGUGAGGCGGCAGGGCCGCUUUGUGUAGAGUUUGUGGUAUUGUGAAUAUACCUCCACCCGCAUACAUUGGGGUGAGGCGGUAGGGCCGCAUUCUGUAGAGUUUUUGGUAUUGUGAUUGCACCUCCACCCACAUACAUUGGGGUGAGGCGACAUGACCGCUUUGUGUAAAUGUAGUUGUAGAGGAUCCCCGACUUAAGAAUUUAUAAAUGAUAUUGAAUUCUCUUAAUAAAUUUGUUGUCUUUAAAUGCUAACUUAGCCUUCUAUUAUUUUCACGAUACAUCAUAUUCAUGUUGUAUUUCCAAUUCCUUGCAUAGGUGUUUGAUUUUCAUACUAGUACUAUUUGACAUGUACUAGCGUCCAUGUUUCUGGGGGCGCUGCAUCUUUUAUGGAUACAGGUGGUUCCACAAUGGAGGGCAUUGACCAGUGAUAGCGGUACACUCUCUUCCCGGUUGGCUUGGUGAGCCCCACUUCAUUUUGAGGUCUUACAUCUUUUGUUGUAUGUGUAUUAUGUUUUGAGGUAUAGCUAGAGCCUUGUUGCCGGCACUAUUAUAUUGUUCUUUUUUACCUAUUAUAGGCUCAGUAGAUAUGGUGUGGGUUUUGUAUUGGUAUUGGGAAGAUCAAGAUAGUAAUGUCGUAUGUGUAUUACAUAAUCCACUUCAACUAUGAAAGUGUAUGUAUUUUGAGACUUUAUAAAUAAAGUAACUAAUGGUAAUGGAAUUAGUGUUGUUCAUG
rnacentral:lncRNA from 1 species